UUCUCGCUGAAUCCUUCAAAAACAGAAGAACGGGGGAACCGAUAAGGUGGUCUUGCAAGCUGUUAGCUUUAUACUUUAGGCCAUCAUAUUUGAUUUCAUUUUGAGUCUUGGGGUGAAGGAAAAGGCACUAGCCAUGAGCUAAUGACCUGAUCCAGGGCGACUCUUGCGUCCCAAUCCGACAGCUAACUCCGUAAGCGUAUAAAGAG
rnacentral:sRNA from 1 species